GUAAACCCGGUGAUUGUGAGGAAUAGCAUCAGGAUACCGUUCAGAGAAAAGACUAGGAGCUGAGAGGUCUUUACGGUAAAGUGCUUGGGUCGCACAGGAGGGGCAGAGGGGAACGGAGUACUUUCUGACGGAAAACCCGUUAGGUAAAUGAGAGUGAAAUGCCAUGCUGUAAGGUUGUUUCACUGAAAUAAGGUGGUACCACGAUCGCUUUUCGUCCUUUAU
rnacentral:ncRNA from 1 species